AGAGUUUGAUCAUGGCUCAGAACGAACGCUGGCGGCAUGCCUAACACAUGCAAGUCGAACGAGACCUUCGGGUCUAGUGGCGCACGGGUGCGUAACGCGUGGGAAUCUGCCCUUGGGUUCGGAACAACAGUUGGAAACGACUGCUAAUACCGGAUGAUGACUUCGGUCCAAAGAUAUAUCGCCCAAGGAUGAGCCCGCGUAGGAUUAGCUUGUUGGUGAGGUAAAAGCUCACCAAGGCGACGAUCCUUAGCUGGUCUGAGAGGAUGAUCAGCCACACUGGGACUGAGACACGGCCCAGACUCCUACGGGAGGCAGCAGUGGGGAAUAUUGGACAAUGGGCGAAAGCCUGAUCCAGCAAUGCCGCGUGAGUGAUGAAGGCCUUAGGGUUGUAAAGCUCUUUUACCCGGGAUGAUAAUGACAGUACCGGGAGAAUAAGCCCCGGCUAACUCCGUGCCAGCAGCCGCGGUAAUACGGAGGGGGCUAGCGUUGUUCGGAAUUACUGGGCGUAAAGCGCACGUAGGCGGCUUUGUAAGUUAGAGGUGAAAGCCCGGAGCUCAACUCCGGAAUUGCCUUUAAGACUGCAUCGCUUGAAUCAUGGAGAGGUGAGUGGAAUUCCGAGUGUAGAGGUGAAAUUCGUAGAUAUUCGGAAGAACACCAGUGGCGAACGCGACUCACUGGACAUGUAUUGACGCUGAGGUGCGAAAGCGUGGGGAGCAACACGAUUAGAUACCCUGGUAGUCCACGCCGUAACGAUGAUGACUAGCUGUCGGGGCGCUUGGCGUUUCGUGGCGCAGCUAACGCGUUAAGUCAUCCGCCUGGGGAGUACGGCCGCAAGGUUAAAACUCAAAGAAAUUGACGG
rnacentral:rRNA from 1 species